GACGAACGCUGGCGGCGUGCUUAACACAUGCAAGUCGAACGGAAAGGCCCUGCUUUUGUGGGGUGCUCGAUUGGCGAACGGGUGAGUAACACGUGAGUAACCUGCCCUUGACUUUGGGAUAACUCCAGGAAAAUGGGGCUAAUAUCGCAUAGGAGCUCCUGCUGCACGGGGGGGGUCGGAAAGUUUCGGCGGUUGGGGAUGGACUCGCGGCUUAUCAGCUUGUUGGUGGGGUAGUGGCUUACCAAGGCUUUGACGGGUAGCCGGCCUGAGAGGGUGACCAGCCACAUUGGGACUGAGAUACGGACCAGACUCCUACGGGAGGCAGCAGUGGGGAGUAUUGCGCAGUGGGCGGGAGCCUGAUACAGCGGCGCCGCGUGCGGGAUACCGGCCUUCGGGUUGUAAACCGCUUUCGCCUGUGACGAAGCGUGAGUGACGGUAAUGGGUAAGGAAGCACCGGCUAACUACGUG
rnacentral:rRNA from 1 species